CNCAGCCACACCCCAAGCUCCCUCAUAC
rnacentral:piRNA from 1 species